GUUCCUGGAGCUUCACCGGUGGCUUGAUACAUGGUGGCGGUGGAGGUGGAGCCUUUGGUGACUUGGUGGAGCUUUUUGGAGCCGAAGUAGUCGGCGAAGACAUGGAGGGAGAGGACAUUCUUUAUGGUCUGAAUUGAUAGUCCUUUUGAAAGUAAUGAAGACAUGGCGGCAUUGUCGACGGCGCAGACGGUGAUUGUCUGCCGGCGGUUGAUCUCAUUGGCGAGGUGAGUGAUGGUGAGGUAGUGGUUGAAAGUGGAAAAUUCGGGGUGUUUGGCGAGGAUGCGGGUGAUGUUGUGGCCGUGUACGGCGGCGGAGAUAGACAGGAGGAGAAGGAAGGAGAGAGAAAUCGCCGAUGGCGUCUGCAUUGCCGGAGAACAGGUGGAGGUGAAGGAUAAGCAGAUUUAGUGAGUGGUGUUUGUGUGUAAAGUGUCAUUAUAUACUCAUGCUGUUUCUCUGUCGGUGUUAUAUAAAAUAACGACAAACAAUUUUGGUAUCUUUUACUAUAUCUUAUAUUUUACAUUUUUCAGUGAUUUAAAAAAAAUUACCAUCAAUCUUUUUAUAAUUUAUAAAUUUUUUUAAAUGGUAUUUCACAUACUAAUUAAUAGUUUAACAUACCAAGUGUUAACUUAGAUGUGGUAAAUCGAUCGUGUUUUAAUAUGUUAAUUGUGAUUAUGAAAUAUAUUAUUAUUAUAAUGGUAAUUUAAAGUUUCACAUAAAAUAAUGUGAACAGAUUUAUAUGCUAAAUGUGUAUAUUUAGGAUAUACCCUUUUAACUCAUUUUCAUGUUAUUUAAAAUUUUAUAAGUUAUUUAUUUGACCUAUACAAAAAUAUCUGAUUCAGCUUGGGUUGUUAACAUAUGGUGAACAUUUUCUUAAAAAAAUAUAAACUUAGAACUAUUGAUGAUGUUAGUGUCAUCUAAUUUUUUUAGUAUAAUAAAGAUUAGUCAAGAAAAAUUGAUGUUAGGUUUAGCUAUAUUGCGAGUUUUGAAGGGUACAAAAUGCAUGUUCAAAUUAACUGAAUUGAUGUUAGUUUUAGCUAUUUUGAGAGUUUUGUAGGGUACAAAUUGCAUGUUCAAAUUAAUUGAAUUGAUUUCGUGAAUGUUUUUUCUUUCAUACACAUUUUCUCUACAAUGAUUAUCUUGAAAAACAUAAACUUGUUUCACAGAUUUUGAAAUAUCAAAGUUCUUAUAAAUAAAUCUAACCCUACUUUUCUAACAGUUUUAUUUUGUAAAUUAAAAACAAUUUGAGUUCCAUCACCAAAUUCAUUCAUCACAAAGUUUUAUACUCUAUUCAAUAAUGUACGAUUUCAAUAUUAUCACAAAGUACGAUAUUUAUAUAAUAAAAUAGCAAAUUUUCAUUUAUUACAUAGUUUAAUAUAUUUGGACGUGUAUGUGUUAUUAGGCAUCGAAGAAUCAAAUUUGAGACCAAAUAUACACAAAAUAUUUGGACUUAUUAUCAAAAAUAUAUCUUAACAGUUAUACAUAUAUCUAAAAUAUUUUUUGAUAAAAUAAAAUACACAAACAUCUUUAAACCAUAAUUAACAUUAUUUGUGAAUACAUUUUUUUUGAUAAUAACAACACUAAUAAUAAUUAAAAAUAUAUUAUAAUGGAGGAAGUGAAUUCCAGACUGUUUCAUAGAAAUCAUUUGGGGUGCCCAUCACCAUCAAUGUGAAAUAAUUUGAUGUAUUAAAAUAUAUAAUAGUGGCACCUGAAUGUUAAAAUUUUCAAAAUACGUACACCAAAUUCCAUUGAUUUCAUUAAAUUAAUUAUUUAUAUAAUUAAGUUUAACAGCAUCGGUUAAAUACAAACAACCGUAUCACUGUCAGAUUGUCCACAUCCACACCCUCCAACUAUUUUGUAUUUUCAUCCAACCUCUCUCUCUUUGGUGGCCCAUGACACAUUAUGUCUAUGCAUUUAUCUAAAUAUCACAAGACCCCCUUGACUAUUUUGGUCUUUUUUUUGUCAAUUUUUUUUUCUAAGACAAUUAUAAUUCCAACCAAAAAAUAAAUAAACCAUCAUUUCUAUGUUAGAUAAUUUAAUUUAUGCUAUUUAUAUAUGAAAUUGAUAAUUGUAUUUUGUUCGGUCGAAAUUUAUUAUUUCUUUUUAAAAAAUAACAUGUGAAUGAUGAAAAUUGUUUACUCCAAAUAACUUAUAUGAAAUAAAAAUAAAAAGAAGAAUCAUCAAAUCUAGUGAAGUUUGAUAAGAAAGCCACGUAAUUUUAGUAUUUCAUUGAAUGUCUUCACAAUGAAAGUCUAGUGGUUGAAUAGUCAAAUUCUACAUUGGAGGUCCAAAGUUAAAACUAUGACAUACCCAAUAUAAUACCAGUGUUCUGCGAGUAACAUUGCAUGUGGGUUUAGGAUGGGUUUAUGUGAGCCGUUCAAAUGGUUUAAUUUAUCAUUUUUUUAGUAUCAAAUUGAGUAAUUUCUUAAAGUAAUUCGACUCAUUUGUGUAAUUGAUAAUAUGUUGGUACCUUUUUUUAUGUUGAUUAUAAUAGCAACUCUAUUUAAUUAAAAAUUUGAUAAUCUUAUUAUGUAUUUUUACAAUUCACUAUCCUUUUUGCUUAAGUUCCAUAUACAAAUUGAUAAAUUUCUAACCACCAUCACUACCAACUUUUAAAUCUAUAAAUAUAUUUGUAAUUUCAAGCAAAAAAAAAAGCCAUAUGGUCAUAUUAUUUAUGGGGUAAAGUGGUCUUUAUUAUACCUAGAGGAACUUUGUUUUACUAACCUCAUUAGCUUGGGGGUAAAUUUAAAACUUCAUCACUAAAUGGUGUGCCCUCAAAAUUGGAAAUCGUGGGACCCAAACAAGUGUCGGUUGUAAUAAUUAAACAGCCAUUUUUGAGGAUGCUAUUUUUAUCGAUGCAUAUUUAUUAUUUAAUCAAUAAAUGUUUCUACUACCAUGAUUUAAGUAAAUUCGGGUUAAUAUUUGCAAAGCAAAAUGGACAACAUCUUUAUAUUGGUUGCGACAUGUCCUUUAAAAAAUAAAAUGUUAAAAUUAAAAACCAAAAUGCUUAUAUUCAGAUAUUCCAGAAUAUAUGAUGUAUCAAUUAUUUUACAACCCUCCCAAAUUGCCAGCCUGUCCAUGCCGACUACCAACCGUUGGCAUAAAAACCAAAAUUGUAACGUUGUUUGCUAACUUUGGGGUUUAAUACAAACAUAAAAAAUAAUAUAUUUUAUAUGUUUUCAUUUGCCCACGCCUUUAUUUAGGAUAAUAUUUCUAUAUUUAUUAUUAUGGAAAUAUGUUAUCACCUAGAGAGAAGUGUAUGGCAAAAACUAAGGCUCAAUAUGAUCAAUGAGGCGAAUAUAUGACUCAAAUCGGUUUCAACUUAGUCUCGUGAGGCCAAGAUGAAACUGCUUUGAGCAAUUAGACAUGAAAUAAAAAUCUUUUUUAUGGGUCGAAGUUGCUUCAACUAAUUCUCGCAGGGCUGAUACAAAAUUGCUUGGGCCAUCAGGUGCACAAAUCUUCUCAAAAUUGUAUUUUUUUUUUCAAUUUGCGGAAUGGUUGUGCAUAAGAAACAUUGCGUAUCACCCAAAACCAAUAUUCCACCUAGAUACCAAUGCACCCACAACCCCAAAAAAAUCAAAUAAACUAAAAUUUCGCGAGUCACACAUGUCGGACUGAUAUUUCUCGACACGACCCUUGACACGACACGAAAUAAACGAGUUUAGGUUGAGUUUUUCAACCCGUCAACUUGCCAACCCGUUUAUUAAACAUGUCAUAUAUGAGUUUCUCAAAAAAAUAUACAGGUUGACAUGCCAACCCGUUUAGAACUUUAAUAAAUAAAAUUAUAUAUUUUUUAAACGUAUUAAGUAUUAUACACUAUACAAUCCAUACUUUAUACUAGGAUAAGAUACCAAAUACCAUUGACCAUUUGACCCAUGGCUAACCAUAUGUUGAUUUGCAUUGCAACAUGUUUGAUGUUUGCCCUAAAUAAUCUUAGUAUCUCACAAGAAUGACAUCAUGCAUUGUUGAAUCAUUAUCGAAUGACGUCGACGCCUGCAAUUUAAUUUAUCUAUAUUUGUAUUAAUGUUUUAGUUUGAACAUGAUUCCAUUAAUGUUUUUGAUUUUCAUUCGGAUGUUUAAGACUUGAGUUUCUAAAAUUCAGUUAUGUUUGCAUCAAGAAUUUAUUCAUGUUUAAUUAUCAAUUUUAUUUAUGGAAUCAGGCUGACGAACACACAAACCUAAAUCCGACCCACGAACCCACAAAUCCAAAUUUGAACUACGAACCCACAAACCCAAAUCUUACCCACGAACCCGCUAACUUGUGAAUCCUUAUAAAUAAGUGGGUUAACGAGUCAUAUAUGAGUUUAUGUUCCAAACCCAUUAACCUGUGCUAUUAAAUGGGUCGUAUUCAGGUUGAUAUAUUUUGACACGUCAACCCGCCAACCCGCGACACACCAACCUGAUAUGACACAAUUGCCAAGCAUACCCACAUGGUUGUUUAUUGUUAACGAAGCAGAUCACAAACUUUAAAAGAUACAACCAUAACAACAACUGAAAAGAAUCCCAAAAUUCAAAGUUACUUCAAAAGUAACCCCCAAAGUCGAAUAAGCAUUUGUUCAAAAAUUCAAAAUAUUACAAAUGUCAACCUGAGCUAGCUUCGACAUGUCCAUCACCCUGAUUACACUUGCAUUAUGUCUCGAAAAUGGUCGAACCCAAACAAAUGGCAAACCUUAUGAAACUAAACUGAUUAAUCUAGAACACCCAUAAAAUUUAAGCCAAAUUUAAACUUUCAAAAAACAUUUAAAAAUCAAUAGUUACUACAAGUUUGUUUCCAAAAUAGUCUUUAUCAGAUUUUUCCUAGAAUACAUAUCAAAAUGUGAGGAGCGGUACGAUCACGCCUUUGCCUUGCCUCGAUCCCCUGAUGUACCUGAAACAAUAAACUGAAACUGUAAGCCCGAAAGCUUAGUGAGUUCCCCCAAAAUACCCAUACUCACAAAUAUACAUAUUAUCAUAAACACAGUAUACAAUGGGUCCAGUCAACCAUCGGGUUGGAAUACCUCAGGCCCUCAACCAGCAGGCUGGAAUGCCAACACAAUAUGGGUCCAAUCAUCCUCGGGAUGGAAUACCCCAGGCCCUAGGCCCUCAACCAAUAGGUUGGAAUGCCCCGGUCUAUUGGCCUCUGCACGAAGCAGAUAAACCUCAACCACCAAACAGACAUGUGCACAUAUAACAGAUAAUCACAUAACAGUCUACCGGCAAUACUGAUCUAACAGAUCCUACCACAUAGCUCAUCAUAUCAUCAUAUCUUCCAGGAUACCGAUCUAACAAUUCAUACCACAAAUCAUAUAAUAUUAUCCUACCCUCUAGGGUACCAAUCUAGCAGUUCCUUCUAGCAUAACAUAACCAGAUACAUUCCAAAGGGCCGACCUUGGAGCCUUAGACCCUUGAGUAUAGUGAAGAUAACUCACCUUGCAAUGCCGGCUCGCAGGAAUAAUCUCAAACUCUCGGAUCACUAACAUGAACACCACCACCUAUAUUUAUUAUGAACCAAACUCGUAAAUCUCUAAUCUUUCCAAAAUUAUCCUCAAAAGUCAACGGGUCUACUCAUGGUGAAAGUCAAAGUCAUCAGUCAAGGUCAACAGUCCAUGUUGACCUUAACUCGUCGAGUACCCUCAGUUGCUCUCCGAGUUUCUUUAAUACUCGCACACUCGCCGUGUCACCAGAGUGACUCGUCGAGUUCCUAAGGCUCGCGAUCGAAGCUCUGAGACCACUCGUCGAGGUUUCCCGCGUGCAACUCGACAAGUUUAUACACACCUAACGAUUUGGGAAAACCCUAACCGACUCGCCGAGUCUAAGGCAAUCUUCAUCAGACUCACCAAGUUGUUCAUCCAACUCGUCGAGUCCAUGACCAUCUUCAAAUGACUCGCCGAGUCGACCAUGCGACUCGCCGAGUACCUUAACUCCCUCAUCCAUAUAGAAGCUUUUUAAGUCAUGCAAAGGAUCCAAACUGCAGAUCUAAGCUUCUAGGGCAUGAUUAUCACGUAAAGUUGCAAACUUUAUGUGCAUGCAAGAUGGUAUGACCCAAAACAAGCUAAAAUGGGUGGCUUAAGGCAAUGGGAUAGGUCAUAGCUUGGCAAAUACUGAACUUUAUGAUAAAGAGAGGCUAAAGGAGACUAGAUCUGAGGUUGCAACCUCAGAUCUUGACCCAACACAGAGAAUCACCACAAAACCCUAAAAAGGGCUCUAAACCCAACCAUGAGGGGUUCUACUCAGAGGAGAAUCAAGGUAACAACUUGUUACCUUCAAAAUGAUUCCAACCCAAAGAAGAAUCUAGAUCUAAAACAACUACUAGCUCCAACUUCUUGCACUCCAAGCUCUUAACUCCAAAGGAUCUUCUUUCAAGGUCAAGAACACACACAAAAGAGGGAAAAAACGAAUUAGGGUUUUCUGGAUUCAAGAGAGGCAGUAAGAAAGGCUAAGGAGAACAUGUGAUCCUUAAAUAGGGUGCCCAAACCCCGGGAUUUAGGGUUUCAUAUGCCAGCUCCUACUCGUCGAGUCCCUACUUGGACUCGUCGAGUAGAUCACUAAAGAUGCGGACCAAUCCGCUGCUACUCGACGAUUAGGGCUACCAACUCUUCGAGUAGACCUUGAAAUCAAGAGAGUUCUUAUGUAAGUCAAUUACUUGAAGAUAAGGGCAUUACAAUUCUCCCCCACUUGAACUGGACUUCGUCCUCGAAGUUUGCCGAGGUAAACAAUGCCGGGUAAUGCUCCCGCAUCUCGGCCUCCGGCUCCCACAUUCACUCGGAUCCUCUCCGAUGCUCCCACUACACCUUCACCAAUGGUAUCUCCUUGUUUCGCAAUACUUUCAUAUUUCUUUCUAGAAUAGCCACCGACCUCUCCACAUAAUUUAAGCGCUCAUCAACCUGGAUAUCAUCCAAUGACACCACCACCUUCUGAUCCAUGAUGUACUUUCGCAGCUUCAAGAUGUGGAAAGUGCUAUGUACCCGACUGAGCUCCUCCGGUAGCUCUAACCUGUAAGCCACCUUGUCGACCCUGGUAAUGAUCCUGAACGGCCUAAUGUAACGGGGGACCAAUUUCCUUCUCUUCCUGAAGCGGAUAACACCCUUCCUGGGUGAGACCUUCAGGAGU
rnacentral:lncRNA from 1 species